GGCCGUCUGGCGAAAUGGCAUCGCGUCUGACUACGAUUCAGGGUUCUACUUCUGUUGUGAUCAGGAGAUUGUAGGUUCGACCCCUACGUCGGUCA